UACAGGGGUGGCAAGCGUUGUUCGGAAUUACUGGGCGUAAAGGGCGCGUAGGCGGUCUUGCAAGUCCUGUGUGAAAUCCCUCGGCUCAACUGAGGAACUGCACAGGAAACUGCUUGGCUUGAGUUCGGGAGAGGGAAGCGGAAUUCCGGGUGUAGCGGUGAAAUGCGUAGAUAUCCGGAGGAACACCGGUGGCGAAGGCGGCUUCCUGGACCGACACUGACGCUGAGGCGCGAAAGCUAGGGGAGCAAACGGG
rnacentral:rRNA from 1 species